CCUACGGGAGGCAGCAGUGGGGAAUUUUGGACAAUGGGCGCAAGCCUGAUCCAGCAAUGCCGCGUGAGUGAAGAAGGCCUUCGGGUUGUAAAGCUCUUUUGUCAGGGAAGAAACGGUCUACUCUAAUACAGUGGGCUAAUGACGGUACCUGAAGAAUAAGCACCGGCUAACUACGUGCCAGCAGCCGCGGUAAUACGUAGGGUGCAAGCGUUAAUCGGAAUUACUGGGCGUAAAGCGUGCGCAGGCGGUUAUAUAAGUCAGAUGUGAAAUCCCCGGGCUCAACCUGGGAACUGCAUUUGAGACUGUAUGGCUAGAGUGUGUCAGAGGGGGGUAGAAUUCCACGUGUAGCAGUGAAAUGCGUAGAUAUGUGGAGGAAUACCGAUGGCGAAGGCAGCCCCCUGGGAUAACACUGACGCUCAUGCACGAAAGCGUGGGGAGCAAACAGGAUUAGAUACCCUGGUAGUCCACGCCCUAAACGAUGUCUACUAGUUGUCGGGACUUAAUUGUCUUGGUAACCGNAGCUAACGCGUGAAGUACGACCGCGUGGGGNGGUACGGUCGCGAGAAGUUAAAACGUUAAAGUUAAGUAAGUUAGUACGGACGUGAGACGUAGACGACGGACGACGACGAGGGGAGGAGGG
rnacentral:rRNA from 1 species